rnacentral:rRNA from 1 species
UUAAGCAUAUCAAUAAGCGGAGGAAAAGAAACUAACAAGGAUUCCCCUAGUAACUGCGAGUGAAGCGGGAAAAGCUCAAAUUUAAAAUCUGGCGGUCCUUGUGGCCGUCCGAGUUGUAAUCUAGAGAAGUGCUAUCCGCGCUGGACCGUGUACAAGUCUCCUGGAAUGGAGCGUCAUAGAGGGUGAGAAUCCCGUCUUUGACACGGACUACCAGGGCUUAUGUGAUGUGCUCUCAAAGAGUCGAGUUGUUUGGGAAUGCAGCUCAAAAUGGGUGGUAAAUUCCAUCUAAAGCUAAAUAUUGGCGAGAGACCGAUAGCGAACAAGUACCGUGAGGGAAAGAUGAAAAGAACUUUGGAAAGAGAGUUAAACAGUACGUGAAAUUGUUGAAAGGGAAACGCUUGAAGUCAGUCGCGUCGUCCGGGGAUCAACCUUGCAAUUUUGCUAGGGCGCAUUUUCCGGUUGACGGGUCAACAUCAAUUUUGACCGUUGGAUAAAGGCUUUGGGAAUGUGGCAUCUUUGGAUGUGUUAUAGCCCGUGGUCGCAUACAACGGUUGGGAUUGAGGAACUCAGCACGCCGAAAGGCCGGGUUUUUAACCACGUUCGUGCUUAGGAUGUUGGCAUAAUGGCUUUAAUCGACC